AACGAACGCUGGCGGCAUGCCUAACACAUGCAAGUCGAACGAUCCCUUCGGGGAUAGUGGCGCACGGGUGCGUAACGCGUGGGAACCUGCCCUUAGGUUCGGAAUAACUCAGAGAAAUUUGAGCUAAUACCGGAUAAUGUCUUCGGACCAAAGAUUUAUCGCCUUUGGAUGGGCCCGCGUUGGAUUAGCUAGUUGGUGGGGUAAAGGCCUACCAAGGCGACGAUCCAUAGCUGGUCUGAGAGGAUGAUCAGCCACACUGGGACUGAGACACGGCCAGACUCCUACGGGAGGCAGCAGUGGGGAAUAUUGGACAAUGGGCGAAAGCCUGAUCCAGCAAUGCCGCGUGAGUGAUGAAGGCCUUAGGGUUGUAAAGCUCUUUUACCCGGGAUGAUAAUGACAGUACCGGGAGAAUAAGCCCCGGCUAACUCCGUG
rnacentral:rRNA from 1 species